AGCGAACUAUGAGCAAGAAAUCCUAGUAAUUAGUUUCAUUUGUAGGUGAAAAAGGUCUUUGAGAAUGUCUGGUAUUAAUUAUCAUUAAGGGUUAGUCAUCUUUCCCAUUUGAAAAAACUAUAUUUUUUAUUUUUAGCUUUACGUGUUGUCAGCUUACAUGCAAUUAAAGAACCUUCAAAGCAAACGAAUCACAUGUAUCACUUGUACGACUUUAUGGGCUUUAAGCCAGCAGAGUCCAUUUGUCCCAAGCCUUCUGUGUCCCUGGCUCAGUGGGACUUAAAUUCAGUGGCAGCUGCUCAGUGGGUACUAAUGGAGAAGACCAGUUCUCUUCCUAAGCUGUGGGCCUCUCUCACACCCUCCAAAAUACCUGGCUGUAGUGGGGCAGGACUACUUCAGGUGGCUCUGAAAGAGGCUAUAAAUCUUAGUGGAGGAAGAGAGCAGGCAGGCUGAAGUCAUAUAAGAUACCUUUCCACAGGGUAAGAGUGUCUGGUGUUGAGUUGUUGAGUUCACUGAUGCUGGGCAGUAAGAGAUGUGGAUGAAAGGGCUGCUUUAAUACAUAAAGCUCUAUUAACUUACACUAAAUGGUCUUUGCUGUGCCUCAGGUAUUGUGCUUUUCUCUGUUCCCCAUCUGUAACAUACGGUAAGGGAAGAGUUUGUUUUUCCUCUUUCUUUGAUUUCAGUUAUACAUAUUUCAAACAAUAAAUUUAUUUUCCAGAGUUCUGUGCACAAAACUUUCUGGCAUUGGUGCUAAUACAUGUGGCAUCUCUGGGCAGACUUUUUAGACACAUAUUCAAUAACAAUUGAGUUGACCUAAAGCUAGUAUGGUGGGCAGCAGAAUUUUGAGGCUUCCUUCAUGUAAACUCUGUCUUUUGUGCCAUAUAGUCUUUCAUUGGUGGGUGGUAACUCACUGAAAUGUCAGUUCUUAGAAUUAGACAUCCAAAACAAAAGACUGUUUUUUAAAUAACCAAAUCCAGCAAUCAUAAAGAAUGUAGCUUUUGAAAAAUUGUGUUGUUUCCCUGAAUCACAUUUCCCUGCUAGUCCUCAUCCCUUUAUUGAUGACAGAUAGAAAAGGCUGUUGCUUGUGUUAGCUGUUAACUUCCCUUUGUCAGAGCCCUUUCCACCAUCUGUCAUUGCAUAACUGUAUGUUCCCAGGUUUGUAACUCUAAUGUGUUUUACUGUUUUGUGUACAGUACGUUACAAGUUAUAAAAGCCUGAGUAAAUAAUUCAUGUAAAAACCUUUGUAAAUAUUGUCAAACUGUGGAAUAAAUGAUUUACUAAGAGGUCUCUUGGCUCAGCCUAGCAGCUUUAUUACUGUAACUUGUUUUGUAAACAACCUCCUCCCCCCACCCUCUAUUUUUUCCAUCAAAUGACUUUGUGCAUUCUAUUGCUAAGCACUACUUAGAUGCAUUUCAGUCACAAUAAAUAAUGCAAUA
rnacentral:lncRNA from 1 species